GCCUUCGUGGUGUAGUGGUCAACACGCUAGACGCGCAUUCGAGAGGUUCCGUGGUUCGAUUCUCGGCCAGGGCA
rnacentral:tRNA from 1 species